AUGCUCAUUUUGGUAGCACAAAUACUAAAAUUGAAACUAUACAGAAAAGAUCAACAUGGCCCCUGUGUGAAGAUAACAACACAAAUGUAUGAAGCAUCCCAUAUUUUU
ensembl:snRNA Rnu6-81 RNA, U6 small nuclear 81